GAGAAAAGGACAGUUAGUGCCUGGACCAGGACCAUCACACUGGGGACCGGCUUCUCUGCUCUCCCGUUAUGGGGGUCGGGGGAAUGAUGGGUCAAGGGUCUUCCGAAGAAAGCGAGAAAGGAACAGGCGCCUUCAAAAGCCCACUUGGCGAUGGGUUACAGUAAGAGGGCCCCUCCAGGUUCAACGGUCUCCUAACCUGUAGUCACCCACAAGAGCGUGCCCUUUCUGCCCGCCCUUCCUAGCGUUGCUCCCUGCUUGGCUGAGCACUGCGGAGUUUCACGCCUCUAAACCCCGCCUCUUCUUGCAACCUGUGUUGGCCUCAUCUACCCAGCAACUGUCGACGUCACACGACCUGGGCCUCCCUGAAUGGGAGAUAUUUACUAGGCAAUCCCGCCUACUGUUCUGAGGUUUCCCCUCCAGGUGCAGCUUCAGAGCCAGGCGAGCCAGGAAGGACCAGCGGGCGAGGUGUUUCAGAGUGCUGGCCACACCAAAGCAUCAGCCCUGGCUCUAAACUCCGUUACAGUAAGGAAUUACAAAUCCUGUGUUUGUACUCCAGGAAGUCUGCAUUAUCACGAGGAGCUUGGAAAGGAGGUAACACACUCAAGGCAAAUUUCAAGUAACUCAUCCUGGAGGCAGCUGCCUACUCUGCAGCUGUGGUUCUCCACCACAGAGAGAAGAAAAGGGAGGGAGAUGGAGUGCGCAGGUCUGAGAAGGCUUUCAUUCUGGAGCAUCUGCAGGAGCCUGCACCAUGGCCCAGUAGCACCCCUUUUUCUCCAUGAGCUGCUGGUGGGUUCCCCCCUCCCGGAUAGCGCCUCCUUCCAGAAAGAGGAUGUGGUCAGCCUGCUCCACCAGGCUGAGGUGCUGGGUGAUGAGAAGCACUGAGCGGGAGUACCGCUCAGGGCUUUCGUACAGGAGCUGCUCCACCUGAGGAAAGACAUCGGACCGUCAGAGCCGGGGACUACCCUCAGCCCAGGGAGACACCUGUGUUUCCAGGGCUGGGACUGACCUCACAGGAUCACUGCUGGCUCUGCUAACAACCCCAAGGACACCAACGUUUCCCAUUCUGAGUACUUCUCCGCAAACCCUUUGUUUCAUUAAGGACUGUUUUACAUGAAGGGUGCAAAAGUAGGAUAAAAAUGAGAACCCUAGGGUGAAACACGUGACAGAAGAAUAAAGACUAUUGAAUAGUCCUCUUCUCUACCCAUGGACUUGGCAUUUUUAUAUUCGAUUUUAAGGAAAUAUAACUUAGUAGUAAAGAGAUGAGCAUUCAAGUCAGGCAGACCUGAAUUUGGGUCAAGGCUGCGCCACUCAAAAGCUAUAUGACCUCUAUAUGAGCAGCUUAUUCAACCUCUUUUAACCUCCAUUUUGUCAUCUGUAGAAUGAUGAUAAAUGCCUAGCUCAGAAGGAUUCCUAAUGAAUAAAUGAGUGACAGUGCAUGUAAACAGACUAGCUUAAUUAAUAUUAAUAUGAUUAGGAUGGGCUGGGCCCGGUGGCUCAUGCCUAUAAUCCUAGCACUUUGGGAGGUCAAGGAGGGAGGAUCACUUGGGCCCAGGAGUUCAAGGCCAGCCUGGGCAACAUAGCGGGACGCUGUCUGUACAAAAAAUAAUUUUUUUAAAUAAACGA
ensembl:lncRNA PSMB8-AS1 PSMB8 antisense RNA 1 (head to head)